GACGAACGCUGGCGGCGUGCCUAAUACAUGCAAGUAGAACGCAGUUGCGAACGGGUGAGUAACGCGUAGGUAACUGCCUGGUAGCGGGGGAUAACUAUUGGAAACGAUAGCUAAUACCGCAUACUACCAGAUGGACCUGCGUUGUAUUAGCUAGUUGGUGAGGUAACGGCCCACCAAGGCGAUGAUCAGUAGCCGGUCUGAGAGGAUGAACAGCCACACUGGGACUGAGACACGGUCCAGACUCCUACGGGAGGCAGCAGUGGUGAAUAUUGCACAAUGGGCGCAAGCCUGAUGCAGCCAUGCCGCGUGUAUGAAGAAGGCCCUAGGGUUGUAAAGUACUUUCAGUCGGGAGGCGUUACCGACAGAAGAAGCACCGGCUAACUACGUGCCAGCAGCCGCGGUAAUAC
rnacentral:rRNA from 1 species